CUUUAUUCUCCCUUAGAUCUUUAAAUGUUUGAUUCUUUCUUGUAAUUCAGAUUUCAACUCACGUAUUGCCUCAGGGAAGAACUUUCCUGGCUAUAUUACUUGACAUCGCUUCCUCACUAGUUAGGCACACACUUGCUCCCACCAUAGUUACUUUCCCUCACCGCACUGUAUUCUUUUCAUAGCACUUGUCACUAUCUAACAGUACCCUUUAUUUAACUGCUUGAGCUGCGAUUCAAAAAUAAUAAUAAAACCUAGUGAGGUGCUUCCAAGUUAUGAAGGCACACAUAACAAGGCAAUGAAUAUGGAGAUGGAGAUCUGGAGAGCUAUAUGUGUAGCUAAAAGAGAUCGUGGGACACAGGGAUCUGCAGACAAGAAGAAAAUCCUACCUCUCUACAUGUUCUGCAUCUCAAUUUAGCAUCUCCUAUUGUCUGUGGGUUUUUUUUGUUUUUAGUUAAUUAUAAUUUUGACAUAAUUAACCUUCCUUAGGUUCAGUGCGGAAACUUUAGAAAUGUGGCUAAAAUGAAAGCUAAAUUUAGUCAAUUUUUCUAGUUUAAGUUCACUAAAAGCCAUGAUCUCAGCCAUAUUACUUAAGCUCUCUGUCCCUAUCUUCCCCAUGAAGAUAGUAAUUUUAUCUACAUUAAAUACUGGCUCCUGGCCGGGCGCAGUGGCUCACGCCUGUGAUCCCAGCGCUUUGGGAGGUCGAGGUGGGCAGAUCACCUGAGAUUUGGAGUUAGAGACCAGCCUGACCAGCAUGGAGAAACCUCAUCUCUACAAAAAAUACAAAAUUAGUCGGCAUGGUGGUGCAUGCCUGUAGUCCAAGCUACUCAGGAGGCUGAGGCAGAAGAAUCGCUUGAACCCGGGAGGUGGAGGUUGUGGUGAGCCGAGAUCGCACCAUUGCACACCAGAUUGCACUCUAGCCUGCAUAACAAGAGCAAAACUCUGUCUAAAAAAAAAAAAAAAAGUGGCUCCUGAGAUUCAAUGUAUUUAAUAAAGGAUGUAAAACAGUGCUUGUCCCAUAGUAACUGCUUAAAAUGUUGUUUAGUAUUAUUAUUUUCUAUACUAGGACGUAUAUGUUUAUUAUUCUCUUAAAUAAUUUGGCAAAUUGUAG
rnacentral:lncRNA from 1 species